rnacentral:lncRNA from 1 species
CACAAGGAGGAUUAGGGUUUUUGCACCUGCGCCGGGUACGCCCGGCGUAACUCUAGGUACGCCCAGCGUACCUUGGCGACUCCGCGUCCAAAUUAAGCGCGUGANAUUAAGCGCGUGAGUACGCGCAACGUACCCCUCUGGUACGCCCAACGUACUCACUUGCUACACAUCUUCCACUCAAGGACUAAAUAUGACAAUUCGAUAAAGAACAAGGAUGAAGGAAACAUACCUGAAUCUCGGGAUGUUACAAUUCUCCCCCACUAGAACUAGACUUCGCCCUCGAAGUCUCAUUCCUCGAACAACUCUGGAUGCUGCCCUUGCAUCUCCGAAUCUGACUCCCAAGUCAUCUAGGAUCCCUUCCAAUGUUGCCACUGAACCAAAACUGAAGGUACUUCCUUGCUCCUCCUAACCUUGAUCUUCCGAUCUCUGAUUGCCACCGGUCUCUCAACAUAAUUCAGGCUCGCAUCCACCUGAAUAUCCUCCAAUGGUACCACUGCCGACAAAUCGGCUAUUCACUUCCGCAAUUGUGACACGUGGAAAGUGUCAUGGAUCUGACCUAACUCUGCAGGUAGCUCCAAACGGUAGACUACUCUGCCUACCCUUGCAACCACCCAAAAAGGACCAAUAUAACGGGGCCCCAACUUGCCCCUCUUCCGGAAUCGGAUCACUCCUUUCCAAGGAGAGACCUUCAGGAGCACAAGGUCGCCGACCUGGAACUCGAACUCGAACCGGAGCCUAUCCGCAUAACUCUUCUGACGACUCUAAUCGGUCAAUAACCUAUGCCUGACCUGCUGAAUCUGCGCAGUCGUCUGCAGCACAAUCUCCGUACUACCCAUAACACGCAGUCGGACCUCUCCCUAGCAAAUGGGGGUCCGACACCUCCUCCCAUACAACAACUCAAAGGGUGUCAUACCAAUGCUCGAAUGAUGGCUGUUGUUGUUGGAAAACUCAGCCAAGGGCAAAUACGUGUCCCAACUCCCCCCGAAAUCCAACACACAUGCCCGGAGCAUGUCCUCGAGCGUCUGAAUCGUCCGCUCACUCUGUCCGUCAGUCUGGGGGUGAUAUGCGGUACUAAAAUGCAGCCUAGUACCCAACUGCUCGUGAAACUUCUUCCAGAAUCUGGAAGUGAAACUCACAUCUCGGUCUGAGACAAUCGAGAUCGGCACUCCAUGCCGUGAUACCACUUCCCUCACGUACAUCUCUGCUAACUUCUCUGCGGAAGAGCUCUCACUGAUAGCAAGGAAGUGGGCGCUCUUUGUUAACCUGUCCACAAUCACCCAAAGUGCGUCGACUCCCCUAGCAGUCCUUGGCAAUUUGGUGAUAAAAUCCAUGGUAAUCUGCUCCCACUUCCAUCCAGGAACCGUCGACGGCAGCAACUUACCAUGCAGUCUCUGGUGCUCGGCCUUAACCCUACGGCAGGUCUAAAUACAUCUUAGUGGCCCCAGGAUGGAUCGAGAAUUUCGACCGAUGAGCCUCUUCCAUCAAAAUGGUACGCGUCCCUCCCACAAACGGUACCCAGAUACGCCCCUGGAAUGUCAUAAGCCCCCGACCAUCGGUAACGAACUCCGAAACCAACCCAACAACUCGCUCUCUCAUCUGCAUCUCAGGCUGCAAAGCCUCAGCCUGUGCCCCAUGAACGGCGUCCAACACUGGAGCUAUCACAAUCAAUCUCAAACAUAUAUCUCGCAACGGGGUGCUCUCCGCCCUACGGCUCAGUGCAUCGGCUACAACAUUAGCCUUGCCCGGGUGGUACAGGAUCUCACAAUCAUAUUCCUUGACCACAUCCAACCAUCUCCUCUGUCGCAUGUUUAGGUUGGGCUGAUCCAUCAAAUACUUAAUGCUCUUGUGGUCCGUGUAUAUCAUACACCGAACCCCGUAUAGAUAGUGACGGCAAAUCUUGAGGGCAAACACCACUGCUCCCAACUCUAGAUCGUGGGUGGGAUACCUCGUCUCAUGAGGCUUCAGCUGCCUCGAUGCGUAUGCUAUCACAUGCCCUCUCUGCAUCAGCACCGCUCCCAACCCCAAGAUCGAGGUAUCCCAAUACACCACAAAGUCCUCCAUCCCCUCUGGGAGGGAUAAAACUGGGGCUUCACAUAGCCUCUGGCGAAGCGUCUCAAAGGAGGUCUGCUGCUCUGGUCCCCAUGAAAACGCGACACCCUUCCGGGUUAACCUGGUGAGUGGCACGACGAUCUUGGAGAAAUCCCUGACAAAUCUCUGAUAAUAGCCUGCCAACCCCAAGAAACUCCUGAUCUCGGAUGGUGACCUCGGAACCUCCCAACUCAUCACUGCUUCCACUUUGGUUGGGUCGACCAAAAUCCCCUUCUGGUUAACGAGGUGCCCUAGGAACUGGACCUCUCGCAACCAGAAAUCACACUUGGAGAAUUUGGCGUAAAGCCUCUCCGAUCUCAGAACUCCGAGGAUCUCCCUCAAAUGCUCAUCAUGCUGCUCUCUGGAUCUCGAAUACACAAAAAUAUCGUCGAUGAACACGAUCACGUACCGAUCCAACAUCGGCCUGCACACUCUGUUCAUGAGAUCCAUGAACACUGUCGGGGCAUUGGUGAGUCCGAAAGGCAUCACCACAAACUCAUAAUGCCCAUAACGAGUCAUGAACACUGUCGGGGCAUUGGUGAGUCCGAAAGGCACCCUUACCUGAUGAUACCCCGAACUCAAAUCGAUCUUGUAGAACCAAGAUGCUCCCUGCAACUGAUUAAACAAAUCAUCGAUCCUCGGCAACGGGUAACGGUUCUUGACCGUCACCUUGUUCAACUCCCGGUAAUCAAUGCACAUCCGGUGUGAACCAUCCUUCUUCUUGAAAAAAAGGAUAGGCGCUCCCCACGGCGAGCUGCUUGGCCGAAUAAACCCCUUCCCCAACAACUCCUGAAGCUGCGAGGAUAACUCUUGCAUCUCUGGAGGUGCAAGGCGAUAGGGCACCUUGGCAAUAGGCGCGGCCCCCGGAACCAAAUCGAUAUUGAACUCCACUUGCCUCACCGGAGGCACACCCGACAACUCCUCUGGAAAUACAUAUGGGAACUCACGCACUAUCAGAACCUCCUCAACUGACCUCGGUCUCUCUGAAUCAACCCGCAUAUCCAUCACAUACGCCACAAAGCCCUUACAGCCCUAUUGUAGACACUGCCUCACCCUAGCGGCCGAACAAAACGCUGACCCGUAACUUGUACCCUCACCGUACACCGUAAGAACUCCCCCACUAGGGUCUAGUAUGGUCACCAGCUGUCGCUCGCAGUCGAUAACCACACCGAAUCUGCUCAACCAGUCCAUGCCCACAAUAACACAGCCAUCACCCAUCGCAAUAGGAACCAAAUCAAUCGGGAACUCAACACUGAAAAUCUUGAAUACGCACCCACAGAUCACCUCCGUGGCAUAUAUCACCCUCUCCUCAGCUAUGGAAACUCUCAGAGGCCGACUCAACGCCUCACGACUAACACUGAUAUGCUGACUAAAAGCCAGAGAUACAAAAGACCGACUCGCACCCGAGUCCAAUAACACCAAGGCAGGCACAUAAUUUACAAGAAAAGUACCUACGCAUAACAUAAUAUAAGCAUACUAUCUCAACAUCAAAAUAAAUACACAAAAGAAUACAUAACAACCAUGACAUCGGGCGCUGCGUGGACCUCUUCCGCGGUGAACUGAAAGGCUCUCCCUCGUGCCCUCGGCGCCUCGGCUUUCACUGGCCGACUCUCAGUAGCUCUGAAGGCGGCAGGGGUAGAUCCCUGAGGUGCUCCCUAUGUUGAUCCCCGCAACUGCAGACACUCUGCCUUCCGGUGUCCGGUCUGGUUGCAGCGAAACAUACUGCAAACCCCUUGGGGCAGUCCUUAGCCAUAUGCCCCUCCUUUCCACAUUUGUAGCAAGACCCUGCUCUGUACACACCGUCGUGGCUCUUGCCGCACUUGCCACAAGUGCGCCCCUCUGGCUCCCUGAUCACGAAUCGGUGGGCUUGGCCCGCUUAGCUACCGGCUGAGACAACACCGGUCGCCGAUCCCUCCCCUGAGACUCAGCCUCCUCCCUAGCCUGAGUCUCCAGCUCUAUCUCCUUUUUCCGGGCAUUUGCCUGAAGCUCGACAAACAUCCGGUACAUCGAGUUCUCCACGAACUCACGUAUGUCCCUCCUCAGAAUGCUCAAAUAUCGACUCAUGCGUUGUGACAUCCCCAAAAUCUUGGCCAGAAAAGACUGAUUUUCAUUUAUGCUUUUAAAAUAUUUUCAGAUUAAAUCCUUUUGAUUUGAAAGAGUUGCGGAAUUUGUUCCCAAAAACAAAACAUGAUAAAACAUUGUUUACCGAAGCAUUUCAUAAAAGAAAUGUAUUUUCAUUAUAAUCAAAACUCGGGGUGUCAUGUUCCGAAUACAGACCAAUAAGCAUAAACGAUAACAUUACAAGUCAUUCAAAUUUAUGUACAUAUACAGACUUGUAAACAAAACAACUUGAUGGUUCGUCCAUCAUACGCCCUCGCGCCAGUUCCUGUAAUACAAAUAAAACUGAGUGGGUCAGGCUUGGGAGCCUGGUGAGCAUAUAGGGUUUUCAACCCACAAUAAAUAUCAUAUUUAAUUUUCACCAACCAACAAUAACCCAAUUACCCAUUCCCGUUAUUCUCACUUUAAUGUCCCUAAAACAACUAACAUAAGGGACCUAGUCUAAAAAUAUUUCAUCGGGGCGACAACACAUGCUUCGGGGGUACCUCAGCAAUAUAAGUCAAAUAAGGCAACCGUGAGGGGGAUGGAGUACAGCGAAUGAACACCCAAGUUCACUAACACCUACAGGUGGCGAACCUGAUAAUGUUCCACAAGACUAUGUAGAAAAAUCAGUGGUCGUCAUCUAAACUCCGCUAGAUGACUAAUCAAACAACAACGAGGCCUCUCAUCUGUUUAUUACACACCAACUGGCUACCCAUGUUCUACCCAACAUAUUAGUAGAUAAAAAUAUACAUUUGUAUACAUAGUUUAAAAACCUAUAUAGCAUGCUUUAAUCAACACAUAUUUCCAAUAACAGAUGAAGCACACACACACAUAACACGUAUCUCAUACAGAAUAAAUCAUAUCUAUGAGUUAGAAGAAAGUGAAUACACAUUCACACACAUAACCAAAAAAUUAUACACAUAAUACAUAUUCCGUAUAAAAUACUUCAUAAUUAUGCGUUAGAAGAAAAUAACUACACACUCACUUGAUCAGAAGAUGAUCGGACAGCACUACGGCUUAUAGAAGUAGUAAUCCUCAGCAGAUCUGGAAGAUCUUCUCAAAAAUCGAACUUCUCGCGGGCAGAGCUUCGACUCGGGAACCGCACUUUUCGGGAUCUUCGGGAUCUCGGGACUUGCCUCGGGGCUAGAGUAUGAUACCGGGACUUCGGGGUAGCUUCGGGGGUUUUUGCACAGAGCUUCGACACGAAAACGAGAGGGAAUUGGCAAAAAUACCCGGAACCCUCGCAUCCUAUUUAUAGGAGGCUGGAGCCUCGGAGUACGCGGGGCGUAUUGGUCCGAAAUCGUCAUUGUGUUCGUCAUCCGAAGUCCUCGAGUGCGAGUGUCGACAUCCUCGGUGUACGCGGGGCGUACUUCCGAUGAGUCUGAUGACUCGUCCUCGGAUAAUACCGGAUUUUCCAAUUAAAAUUAAAUACAAAUUAUUUAAUAAACUUCGGAAAUUCAUAUCUUCUUCAUACGAACUCCGUUUUCGACGUUCUUUAUAUCCACGCGAAGGUGAGACUACGCUCUACAACUUUCGUUUAGACUCCGUCGGCUAAUUUUGACUUUAUUUUUAUUAAUUAUUUUUAAUAGGCCGGGACAGAAACUUUCGUUAUAAAUUCAUAACUUCUUCGUUUGACGUCCGUUCUCGCCUAACUUUUUAUCGCUUCGAUACCAACAAUGAGAUCUUCGAUUCUCAUUUAGAUUGCUUCGGCUAACAACCGCUCGAUCUCAAAUCGAGUAAAACAGGCUGUAUAUCGCUAAGCCGGAACUUCGAUAAAUCAUAACUUCCUCAUACGAAGUCAGAUUUGGGCGUUCUAUAUAUAUUCGGAAACCUCGUUUCAACUACUACAACAUUAACCAAAUAUAUUAAGUUUAUUUUACACUUAAAUUUUGACGCUUAUUUUUAUUCUUAAUUAAUCAAACCACAUAAUUAAGCAAUUAAGCACAAAACACACAAUACUCAAAUAAUACAAUCUUAUUAUUUCAAAACGGGUUACAGAGGUUAACCUAGACUAUUACAUUGCUACAAAUGGCAAGCCGGAAACACAGGCGUUACAAUUCUCUCCACCUUAGAAUGAUUCCGUCCCCGGAAUCACACAUCAACAAACAAAUGCGGAUAGCGACUCAACAUGUCACUCUCCGUCUCCCAGGUGAGAUUCGGCCCAUUCGUGUGUUUCCAUCGGACAAGCACUAACCCAACCAUUUUGCGUCGCAACUUCUUAGUCUUUCGGUCAACAAUUGCCUCUGGUUCUUCAAUCAACCUUUUGUUCUCAUCAAUUCUCAAUUCAGAAAUUGGAAUUAUGUCGGGAACUUCUCCCGUGAACUUCCUCAAAUAACACACAUGAAAAGUGUUGUGAAUUCCAUUUAGUUCUUCAGGUAAUUUGAGCUUUUAAGCUUGGUUCCCAACCCUCUGAAGAACUUUAAACGGUCCAAUAAACCUUGGACUCAACUUUCCCCUUUAACCAAAUCUUAUAAGUCCCUUCCACAGCGACACUUUAAGAAAAACCGAAUCUCCAACCUCAAAAGUCAUCGGUCUUCGCUUCUUGUCAGCAUAGCUCUUUUGACGAUCUUGAGCUGCUAACAUUCUUUCUCUAAUUAUUUUCAACUUUUCAGCAGUUUGAUGAACCAUCUCCGGUCCCAUAAACUGCUUUUCCCCAGCCUCAAGCCAACAAGACGGCGUACGACACUUCUGUCCAUACAAAGCUUGGUAAGGUGCCAUCUUAAUGCUCGAGUGGAAACUAUUAUUGUAGGAAAAUUCUACCAAUGGUAAAUGUUCAUCCCAAUUACCUAGGAAUUCCAAGGUACAUGCUCUCAGCAUAUCUUCAAGUGUUUGUAUCGUUCUUUUACUCUGACCAUCAGUCUACGGAUGGUAAGUUGUACUUAAACAAAACUUGGUACCCAUUUCCUCUUGUAGACAUUUCCAAAACCUCGAGGUGAAACAGCUAUGACGAUCCGACACAAUCGUUAACGGAACACCGUGAAGCCUCACAAUUUCCUUCACAUAAGAAUUCUCAAGCUUUUCCAUAGACCAUUUAUGCUUGGCUACUAUGAAAUGCGCACUCUUAGUGAAUCAAUCAACGACCACCCAAAUCAUGUCGUGACCAUUCUUUGUUCUGGGCAGUUUAGUGACAAAAUCCAUAGCAAUGUCUUCCCAUUUACCCAUAGGCACAGGUAAAGGUUCUAAACUCCCACAGGUAAAGGUCCCUAUACAUUAUAGUGCUACCAGGAUGAAUCGAGUACAUGGUCUUGUGAGCUUCUUCCAUCAGAAGAUCUCUGAUUCCUCCUGUCUUAGGUAUCCAAAUCCGAUCUUGGAACACCUUCAGUCCAUGACUGUUUACACCGAACACCAACGUUUUGCCCAAACGUUCCUCCUUUCUGUCAUUCUUCUCAGAAGCUUCGCUCUGAGCUUUCUUUAUACUUUCCAAAAUAGUUGAGACAACUUCAAUUCUCAACGCUCUUGGCCUUUUCCUUUCGGGAUUGACUUUCCGACUGAGAGCAUCAGCAACAACAUUAGCUUUACCGGGGUGGUAAAGUAUCUCGCAGUCAUAGUCUUUAAGUAAUUCUAGCCAGCGUCGUUGCCUCAUAUUCAAUUCUUUCUGAUUAAAGAGGUAUUGGAGACUCUUAUGAUCAGUGAAAAGUUUGCACUUCGUGCCAUAGAGGUAAUGCCUCCAUAUUUUCAGAGCGAAAACUACCGCUGCCAACUCCAAAUCAUGAGUCGGGUAAUUCUUUUCAUGCUCUUUCAGCUGUCGAGACGCAUAUGCUAUCACCUUUUCUCUUUGGGUCAAAACACAACCCAAUCCAACACCAGACGCAUCGCUAUAAACAGCGAAGUCUUCAACUCCAUCGGGUAGAGAAAGUAUCGGUGCCUCGCAUAGCUUCUUCUUUAACUUCUCGAAUGCUUCUUUAUGCUUCUCACUCCAAGCAUAAGUAGCUCCUUUGUGGGUCAAAGCUGUCAAUGGAGUAGCAAUCGAAGAAAAGCCUUGGAUAAACCUUCGGUAAUAUCCGGCUAAUCCUAAAAAGCUUCGAAUCUCCGUGGGACUUUUCGGUUGUUCCCACUUCGUCACAGCUUCGAUCUUCGCUGGAUCAACCAUUAUCCCUUCUUGGUUGACCACGUGACCCAAGAAUUGGACUUCACGAAUCCAAAAAUCACAUUUGGAGAACUUAGCAUACAGCUUCUCCUUCUUCAAGACUUCUAACACUUCUCGCAAGUGUCUGCCAUGCUCCUCCUGGCUUUUCGAGUAAAUCAGAAUGUCGUCUAUGAACACUAUCACGGAUUUAUCAAGGAACGGGUUACAAACCCUAUUCAUCAAAUCCAUGAACGCUGCUGGAGCAUUGGUUAGUCCAAACGACAUAACCAAGAACUCGUAGUGUCCAUAUCUAGUUCUGAAUGCAGUCUUCUCGAUAUCUUGCUCUCUUACUUUCAGCUGAUGAUAUCCUGACCUAAGAUCGAUCUUCGAGAAAUAGCUCGAACCUUGCAAUUGAUCAAACAGGUCAUCAAUCCUCGGCAACGGAUAUCUAUUCUUUAUUGUUGCCUUGUUCAGCUCUCUGUAAUCGAUGCACAUUCUCAUACUUCCAUCUUUCUUCUUUACAAAUAACACCGGAGCUCCCCAGGGCGAUGAACUAGGUCUAAUGAAACCUUUGUCCAAUAACUCCUGAAGUUGCAUCAUUAGCUCCUUCAUCUCCGUCGGUGCUAAUCGAUAAGGUGCUUUUGCUAUUGGCGUGGUUCCUGGUAACAAGUCUAUUCUGAACUCCACUUGUCUAUCAGGUGGUAAUCCAGGAAGAUCCUCGGGAAAUACUUCCGGAUAAUCACACACCACUGGAAUACUCUGCAUCACCUUCUUUUCUUUCUUAGCAUCAAUCACGAAUGCUAAAUAUGAUGUACAUCCCUUGGUCAAACACUUUCUGGCUUUCAUUAGAGAAAUGAUUCCAGAAUUCACUCUGCGUUUGUCCCCAUACACCAUAAACGAAUCUUUCCCAGGCGGGUUUACUUUAACUAUCUUCUUCUUGCACAAAAUUUCGGCAUCAUUGGCGCUAAGCCAAUCCAUUCCCAAGACGAUGUCGAAACCAUUUAGUUCGAUAGGCAAUAAUUCCUCGAGAAACUUAUUCCCAUUAAGGUCGAUCAAGACGUUUUUCAUACGAUGGCUAACAGGUACAAACUUGCCACUAGCUACUUCGACUAAUAAAGCAUUAUUUAGUCUAUCAACAGGCAAAGCUAGCUUUCUACCAAACUCAUGCGAAAUAAAGGAGUAGUUGGCUCCAGAAUCAAACAAUAUAUGAGCAGGUAAUUCGUUUACGAGAAAGGUACCUGAAGCGACAUCAGCUUCAUCUUUCGCAGCCUCAAGUGUCAUCUGGAAGGCUCUCGCCUUCGGCUUUGGUGGAAUGUUGGGCCUAGCUGCCUCCUUCUUCUUCGGACAGUCUUUCAAAAUAUGCCCCUCUUCAUUACAACCAAAACACAUCCUUUUGUUGUUCGGACAUUCAUUGGCAAAAUGUCCAACCUUUCCACACUUGUAGCAGGUCACAUCCUCGCUACAUUUCCCAAAGUGCUUUUUCUUACACUUAUCACACCACUUCGCUUCGCCUCCUUUUCCUCCAAACUUUUUCGAAUCAGAUUUCGAAAAUUUGCUCUUCUUACUGGAACCAGAUGUUCCUUCAAACUUCCUUUUCUCACCAACCUCAACCUUGACGGUGGUUCUCCCCUUGAUCAUGUUCUCCACAGACUUGGCAGCCCAGAUAGCUGCCUCUAGAGUAAGUGCCUGACGUACUGGCACCUCGUACUCCCAUGGAAGUCCCUUCGCAUACCGAUCCACCUUUGUCAGCUCGUCUGGAACGAUACGCAAGGCAAACUCCAUCUUAUCGGUGAAGUUAUUGGUGUAUUCAUCAACUGACAUGCUACCCUUCGUCAAUGUCAAAAACUUAUUCUCCAACUCCAACAGAUUUUGAGCCGAGCAGAACUUGCGCUUGAACUGCACCAAGAACUCUGCCCAUGACAAUUGCAGUGGCUCAUUAGGGCUUAAGGUCUUCCCUAGAGUGUUCCACCAACGAACGGCUCCACCUCGGAAUUGUCGCACGGCAUAGAUAGUCUGCAACUUGCCUCUACAGCCACAUGUCAUAAAGGCUAACUCCAUUUCGGAGAUCCAAUCCAUAACCCCAAUCGGAUCCUCCUUUCCAUUGAAGGUCGAUGGUUUACAAGUCAAAAAGUCCUUGUACUUGCAUCCCAUUCCAUCAUUCCUUCCAUCAUGGUUAUCUUGCCUAACUAUCGGUGGGUUGGCUGGACCAACAGACCCACUGAAGUUUCCACCUUCCGAGUGCCCUUCAUUCAGUUCAGGCUCUUCCACACGAAUCGACAGUUCUUCACGAUUUUGUUGAAGCAACCGUCUAGUUUCAUCCAUCUGACGAUCCAACAUCGUCUGAAUCAUCAAUUGCACACCAGCCAUGGUUAUUGGCUCAGGUGCUGCUGCUACGACAGGUAUUGGCUCAAUCACUGGUGGUUGAUUCCUGUUUUCGUCAGCAUUUCCAACUCCACUUCUUGUUCUCACCAUUUUGAUCUACACACCGAAUAAGGUGAAAUUAGAUCCUCAAUCAUGAUAGAUAUUCAAAUCAUCCUUAUCACUCCGAAACGUUUACAUGCUAGUUCUAAUAUCGUAGACGUACGCUUAGAAUCCUACACACAUAAGGUUUCUAGAUCCGGUCGGCAACAGACCAUAGAUCCGAACAAAUAAUAUCAUAUAUGGCAACAUAUAACAUUUAGCACAUAAAGCAUUUUAGGCAACUUUCCUAAAAUAAACUAGUGCUCGUGUCUAAAACACAACAGACACACAUCUCAAAACUUCACUUAGCAUUCUAAGUUUAAGUCUAGAAAUCCUACAAAUUCCUAGUUCGCUUAAACUAAUGCUCUGAUACCAACUGUGACAUCCCCAAAAUCUCGGCCAGAAAAGACCGAUUUUCAUUUAUGCUUUUAAAUAUUUUCAGAGUAAAUCCUUUUGAUUUGAAAGAGUUGCGGAAUUUGUUCCCAAAAACAAAACAUGAUAAAACAUUGUUUACCGAAGCAUUUCAUAAAAGAAAUGUAUUUUUAUUAUAAUCAAAACUCGGGGUGUCAUGUUCCGAUACAGACCAAUAAGCAUAAACAAUAACAUUACAAGUCAUUCGACAAUAUAUACAUAUACAGACUUGUAAACAAAACAAACUUGAUGGUUCAUCCAUCUCAUGCCCUUCCGCCACUACCUGUAAUACAAUUUAAAACUGAGUGGGUCAGGCUUGGGAGCCUGGUGAGCAUAUAGGGUUUUCAACCCACAAUAAAUAUCAUAUUUAAUUUUCACCAACCAACAAUAACCCAAUUACCCAUUCCCGUUAUUCUCACUUUAAUGUCCCUAAAACAACUAACAUAAGGGACCUAGUCUAAGAAUAUUUCAUCGGGGCGACAACACAUGCUUCGGGGGUACCUCAGCAAUAUAAGUCAAAUAAGGCAACCGUGAGGGGGCUGAAGCCUCAGAGUACGUGGGGCGUAUGCCAGUACGCGGGGCGUACUGGUCUGAAAUCGUCACUGCGUUCGUCAUCCGAAGUCCUCGAGUGUGAGUGUCGACAUCCUCGGUGUACGCGGGGCGUACUUCGGAUGAGUCCGAUGACUCGUCCUCGGAUAAUUCCGGAUUUUCCAAUUAAAAUUAAAUACAAAUUAUUUAAUAAAUUUCGGAAAUUCAUAUCUUCUUCAUACGAACUCCGUUUUCGACGUUCUUUAUAUCCACGCGUAGGUGAGACUACGCUCUACAACUUUCGUUUAGACUCCGUCGGCUAAUUUUAAAUUUAUUUUUAAUAGGCCGGGACACAAACUUCCGUUAUAAAUUCAUAACUUCCUUGUUUGACGUCCGUUCUCGCCUAACUUUUCAUCGCUUCGAUACCAACAACAAGAUCUUCGAUUCUCAUUUAGAUUGCUUCGGCUAACAAACGCUCGAUCUCAAAUCGAGUAAAACAGGCUGUAUACCGCUAAGCCGGAACUUCGAUAAAUCAUAACUUUCUCAUACGAAGUCAGAUUUAGGCGUUCUAUAUGUAUUUGGAAACCUCGUUUCAACUACUACAACUUUAUCCAAAGAUAUCAAGUUUAUUUUACACUUAAAUUUUGACGCUUAGUUUUAUUCUUACUUAAUCAAACCACAUAAUUAAGCAAUUUAGCACAAAACACAUAAUACUCAAAUAAUACACUCUUAUUGUUUCAAAACGGGUUACAAAGGUUAACCUAGACUAUUACAUUGCUAAAAAUAGCAAGCCCGGAAAUACAAGCGUUACAUGCGUGCCUGCUCGUAGGACACGUGCUCUUGGCAGAACAUCGCCCGCUCAUGAAACAUCCUCGUAAUCACCGUAACAGACUCAGUACCCUGCUUGAGGGUCAGAAACUCCUGGGCCAAACGCUCCCUCUCCACCUGGGGAACGUACUCAUCUCGGAACAUAGCAGUGAACCUCUCCCAGGUCACUGCUGCAAGCUCAGCAGGCGUAUAGUGCGCCAUCACAAAUUUCCACUAGUCCUUCGCUCCCAAGCGAAGCUGGUUCAGCGCGAACCGGACUCUCAAAUGCUCAGGAGAUGAGCAAGUAAAGAAACACCCCUCUAUGUCUGAAAUCCAUCUCAUCGCCGCAAUCGGGUCCUGGGUCCCGUCAAACUCCGGUGGUUUUGUGUUGCUGAACUCUCGGAACAGCAACGCAUCACCACCCUGCGGCCUAGUCGCAACUAUAGCUGCAGUGGCUGCAGCAACAGCAGCCUCAGAAAGAGCAGCGUACUUCUCAUCAAAUGUCUCUAUCAACGUGGUCUUGAUAGACCCGAACAUCUCUGGUAUCUCUGCCCUGAUGGCCGCAGCCACCUCCUCCUGGAUGAUCCUACGGAACUCCUCAUCCCUCGUAUCACUGGUCCAUGGCGUGUGGCGAGUCCCAACCAUGAUCUCUCUCUCUGAAAUACAAUAUAAGAAUAAUAUCAGGGACUCACUCAAGUAUACUCACUCUUGAGUACUCUAUCCUACUUGUUCAUUGGUACUCCAAAGAUUCUUACUUGGACUGUGCACUGACCCGGUGUCUUCAGUUGUACAGGCCCAAUACUACCGUCCACACCGCAUCAGCAUCCACCCCAAGUCCUCCUCCCAGAGUCCCAAGUCCCAAGCACUCUACUCUCUCUAAUCAUAUGAUACUCGCAAACAGAUCUCUCACAAUCUCCUCGCUGCUACCUAACCACUCUGAAAUAUUCAUAGCAGCAAGACUCCUAGACUCAGGCAUCACAUAUCAGGCCACUCUAGUCCUAAUAAGAAUACCUAGUCUACUCUAGCAUGCAUAUCAUAGCUCAUCAUAUAACAUAUCACAUCAUAUCUCAUAACACUUAUAAUAAUGGUAUUUUGGGAAAUCACCGUUCGGGCGCUGGCUGUUCGUACACACGACUCUGCUCUGUUUGUCUCGCAAGUUCUUCUUUUGAAAACUUGUUUUAUUAUCCAAAUUUUUCUCAAAUCCUCGGUUUGAGUUCAGAUAAGCCCGAAGGUGCACCCGAAUCCCUCAAACCUAGGCUCUGAUACCAACUUGUAACACCGUAAAAUUUAAAACAAUUUUUCACAUUUGAAAACACAUUUUAAAUAAAACCAUUCAUUCAUAAAAUCUCAUAACAUCAUGUUUUUAAUUCACAAAUGUCUCCCAAGAUCAAAAUACAUCCAAUCCCAUAUGUGUGUACGAAUCAAGCCGGCGCCUUCCCGCGGUCAUCACUGGUACCUGAAACACAUAACACUGAACACUUUAAGCAUAAGCUUAGUGAGUUCCCCAAAAUACCACACUAAUCACAUAAUAGCCACUCGAGGUUGUAACUCUGUUGACCUUCUGGUUAAUGUGUCUCAGUGGGGCCUCCAGCCCUAACUCUCUGUUGGCCCUCUGGCCCUAACUCUAGGGACCCGAAAGUCCCAACUCUGUAACUCUAAAUCAUGCAUAUCACAUAUCACAACAAAUCACAACACAUAAUAACAUGCAAUCACACUGGCAUAUAACUGUAUAAUACUCUGUCUCUGAACUCUAUUACCACACUAGGUAAAGUAUAGUGAGAAGACUCACCUCGGGUAUCUUGGUAAAUCUCUGACUCGGUAAACGCUGGCCUAGCCUCUGCCUAAUCAUAUGAAAAGAAUACUCUAUUUAAUAUAACUCUCGAAGGCAAGACUAUGUUCUCUUAUGACACUCUCAGAAGGGUAAAUGACCAUUUUACCCCUCCCAUAGCUCAAAGGCCCCACAAUAUACCAUACCAUAAAAGUUAACCAAAAGUCAAUACUCCGGGUUACGCUGCGCGUACCAGAUGUGUACGCUGGGCGUACCCGACUGCUUCACAGAAUCGGGGAGCGCCACCCAGUACGCGGCGCGUACUGGGGAUUACACCCGACGUACUCCCCUGCUUCAGCCCUUUUUGCUCUUGAGGUCUUAAAAAGUUAAGACCUACGUCCAUAUUUUAGAUCUGACCCCUUCUAAGCCCCUUAACCCAUAAAGUUGAUGACUUUAAGCCUGUGCAUGGCUGAACAAGUCACUAACUCCCAAAAUGAUCCAACCUUCAACUCUAGAAGGCUUAAAACACAUGCAUGACUCCAAGGUAACAUCCAAGAUGGGAACUUUAUGGAUCUACAUCACUAAUAACACUGAAAUGGGACAGAUCUCGGACCAUGGAGCACUUUACACUCAUAAUGUCUCCACCUUUGGGGUUAUUAGUCCUAAAAAGGACACAUACAACAACAACCAAAUGAAGAUGAAAGUUUUGAACUUUAUACCUCCAAGAGUAGCUCUUUCCUCUAUAGAUCCCAGAUCCAAAAUGGCACCUCAAGCUGUAGCCUCCAAGAUCUCCUUUCCUCCUUCUUCUCCAAGCUACUAAAGCACCAACAAGCUCAAAUCAACACUGUCUCACUCUGAGAACGAUGGGGCUCUCUUUUAGGGUUUCACUCACUGAUAUGGAGGCUAAGGAAUGAGCCAUAACACCCUUUAAAUAGUGCACAUGGAGGAUUAGGGUUUUUGCACCUGGGUUGGGUAUGCCCGGCGUAACUCUAGGUACACCCAGCGUACCUUGGCGACUCCGCGUCCAAAUUAAGCGCGUGAGUACGCGCAGCGUACCCCUCUGGUACGCCCAACAUACUCACUUGCUACACAUCUUCCAAUCAACGACUAAAUAUGACAAUUCGAUAAAGAACAAGGAUGAAGGAAAUGCACCUGAAUCUCGGGAUGUUACACCGGUUAGGU